UUUUUUGAUUGAAGUAAAAAGGAAGGAAAAAAUGUAUACGUACACAAUAAUUGCAUUUAUAUUUGCCGCAAGUAUUGCAGAUACAACGAGAUUAAAAAGACACGAUCAAACAUGGAUAGGGCCAAAAGAAACAGACGAAAAGGAGAGUACAAA